AGCUAGUCAAAGGUGAUUAAUUCAUGUGGAUGGAAAAAUAAUACAUGCCAAAAGAAAUUUGAGGAACAAAUUCAGGCUGAGAUAGGUCAGUGAAACACUCCCCCAGUCUUCCUUAAGAAAUGUAGACUGAAUCAGCAUUUACCCUCCCCUGGAAGAAUGCAGGAGCUGCACACUUCUGGGAUCUCAGCAGGGCUUGUGGGAAGAGUGGCACUGGGCUGGAGUCAGGGUUUCCGGGCUGACUCCAGAUUUUCCCCGGCUCUCGUCACCUGUGAUGGCUGAAGAGUAUCUGAAGAUGACAGGCCCCUACUUCCAGUGACAUGAGAUGGUUGGACCCACGGCUGAUUUACUGCCUUAUUCUCAUUCUUUAUGGGGCCAGUUUUAAUGAGCACCCAAGCGGAAAUGCCUUUGACUCUUGGACUGUGAAUAACCAUUAUUAAUACAGGGGGAAGCUGCUUGCCAUGGAACCAUG